GUUUCUCAAUACUGAGUUUGAAUCAGUAUGUUCCUCUUUUGCCUCAGGGUAAAAGUCAAAUGUACAUCAAGCUUCAAGCCCUGUAGCAUGAGUUUGAGAAGUGACAUGAAUUGAUUACAAUUAUUUCAUUCCAUUCCAUUCCAUUCUGCAGUUAUUUUGGUAGAAAAUGUACUACAUGCUCUAGGGGAUAAACAAAAACAAUACAUCCUGAUGCCAGUUCCCAUAAGGGGGCCUAUUAUUCUUGUCUGCAUUUUAUUCACCCUAUUCUAAUAAGUUGAUUUACCAAAAGAAGUAUUCCCUUAAACCCUCAUCUACAGUUCACCUGGUCUAUGUUAAGUGUCAGAAUUAUGUCAACCAAGUUAAGAUCCAGAUAGUAAUCUAUGUGCUGUGGGAAUGGGAGAUGGAAAGAAACCCUAAUGUAGAACUGCUCACUACUGAACUUGAACCUAAAGGUUAACAGGGCUUCCAACAGGAGACACAAACCAUGCUUAUCAAUAAGAGGAAGAGAAUAAAGAACAAAUCUUGUUUGCAUACUCCUGCCUGUACCCUUCCUCCCUGUCCAUUAGGUAUAUUAGAUCUGUAUUUUCCAUUAGUUCAUUUAUACAAUUGUAAAUUAUUUAUUAUAAUUAAAUACAAAAAAUUACUGUACAGAAUUUAGAGAUAUGUAAUAAGAACACUA
rnacentral:lncRNA from 1 species